rnacentral:misc_RNA from 1 species
GAUGAAGAACGCAGCGAAAUGCGAUACGUAGUGUGAAUUGCAGAAUUCAGUGAAUCAUCGAAUCUUUGAACGCACAUUGCACCUCUCGGUAUUCCGGGAGGUAUGCCUGUUCGAGCGUCAUUUGUACCCUCAAGCUCUGCUUGGUGUUGGGUGUUUGUUCCGCCUCUGUGUGUGAACUCGCCUCAAAACAAUUGGCAGCCGGCGUACUUGUUUCGGAGCGCAGCACAUUUUGCGAUCCAGAUCAACGUACAGCGGCAUCCAAGAAGCCUUAUUUAACGCUCUUGACCUCGGAUCAGGUAGGGAUACCCGCUGAACUUAAGCAUAUCAAUACGCGGAGGA